GUGCCAGCAGCCGCGGUAAUACGAAGGGUGCAAGCGUUACUCGGAAUUACUGGGCGUAAAGCGUGCGUAGGUGGUCGUUUAAGUCUGUUGUGAAAGCCCUGGGCUCAACCUGGGAACUGCAGUGGAAACUGGACGACUAGAGUGUGGUAGAGGGUAGCGGAAUUCCUGGUGUAGCAGUGAAAUGCGUAGAGAUCAUCCAUCAGAGGAGGGCGAAGCAGCUACCUGGACCACACUGACACUGAGCACGAAGCGUGGGGAGCAAACAGGUUUAGAUACCCUGGUAUUCC
rnacentral:rRNA from 1 species